UACGUAGGGGGCAAGCGUUACUCGGAAUUACUGGGCGUAAAGCGUGCGUAGGUGGUGAGUUAAGUCUGUCGUGAAAGCCCCGGGCUCAACCUGGGAAUGGCGAUGGAUACUGGCUCGCUAGAGUGCGGUAGAGGAGAGUGGAAUUCCCGGUGUAGCAGUGAAAUGCGUAGAGAUCGGGAGGAACAUCAGUUGCGAAGGCGGCUCUCUGGACCAGCACUGACACUGAGGCACGAAAGCGUGGGGAGCAAACAGG
rnacentral:rRNA from 1 species